AGUUCAUCGCAACACUCAGCCUGUCAGUCAGGUUGUGGGAUCCCUCCUAUCCAGGAACUGUAUGCUGUUGUCCCGGUUCUGACACUUUCCCUCUGAGUCCUUGGACACCUUACCUAACCUCUUGGAAGCUCCUGUCUGUGAAGGGUGUGCACAGAGAGCUUCGGUAGCCUGCGAAGCAGCCAUUUUCACUUCCACGGAGCAGAUGCUGGCCUGGGUGCUGGAAUAUGGAAAUGAGGAAGAUCCUGCCUGAGGAUUUCAUGACAGUGCUGCGAUUACCGACGUGAGCCACUGUGCCCAGCCUCACUUUAAAAAAAAAAAAAGGUUAUGAAGCAUCUCAACACAAGACCUCCUUUGCUCAUCACAACCACCCAGUGAAGCAGGCAAGACAACAGAAACUCCCCACCUGUGAUAGAUGUGAGGCCUGAAGUCUCCCACAUACCCACGGCAGAUGCAACGCACAGCGGUGACCAAUGGUGAAGGAUCUAAAACCUGAAAAGAGGCCAAAUGAUUCCUCAAAACCACGCAAGUACGAAGUAGCAGAGCGGAUCUCAAAUCCAGAAUACUACUAAAGUCAUGCCGUGUGACUUCUGAAGCUAGCUCCUAAGAAGUCCUUGCAGCUUCUGCCUGCGACUCUUAGAACACUUGCUUUGAAGGAUGCCAGAUGCUGUCUUAAAAGUCUGAGCACUCUGAAACCAUCAUGCUGUGAGGAAGCCCAAGCUAACCACAUGGGCAAAAAAGAUGCCCUCUGACUGCCACCAUUUGAGACACUCUAAUUAAGAACUGCCUCAUUGAGCCCAUGAGGCCCUGUGAAUGAUAAUAAUAAAUUGUUUUUAACCACUAUGUUUUUGGAUUUGUUAUAAGUUUAUAGAUAACAAGAAAAAGUUAUAUUAGCAUGGUAAUAAAAUUAUGGAUAUGUGUAA
rnacentral:lncRNA from 1 species